rnacentral:rRNA from 1 species
CGCAUGAGUGGCGGACGGGUGAGUAACGCGUGGGCAACCUGCCCUGUACAGGGGGACAACACUUAGAAAUAGGUGCUAAUACCGCAUAACGGGGGGAGCCGCAUGGCACCCCCCUGAAAACUCCGGUGGUACAGGAUGGGCCCGCGUCUGAUUAGCUGGUUGGCAGGGUAACGGCCUACCAAGGCGACGAUCAGUAGCCGGCCUGAGAGGGCGGACGGCCACACUGGGACUGAGACACGGCCCAGACUCCUACGGAAGGCAGCAG